UACGUAGGGUGCAAGCGUUAAUCGGAAUUACUGGGCGUAAAGCGUGCGCAGGCGGUUUUGUAAGUCUGUCGUGAAAUCCCCGGGCUCAACCUGGGAAUUGCGAUGGAGACUGCAAGGCUAGAAUCUGGCAGAGGGGGGUAGAAUUCCACGUGUGAGCAGUGAAAUGCGUAGAGAUGUGAGGAACACCGAUGGCGAAGGCAGCCCCUGGGUCAAGAUUGACGCUCAUGCACGAAAGG
rnacentral:rRNA from 1 species